UGAACGGUAAAUCUGGCAAAAAUUCACAUGCUGAACAUUUCAGUGUUUGUAAGGAUGGCUUGGUUUAGUGGUUAGACUAUGUACUGCACAGGGGUAUUAUCAGGUUUAAUUAAUUAUGCUGCAGCUAUACGCUGUGCAGACCUUUGUGCCAGCAUCUUCACAGCUCUUGAGGACUUCCUUCUGAAGAAUAACAGGAAUGUUUGGACCAAAUGUACCAAAUGAAUCAUAUGUCUUAAAUGUUUAUUUAGACCCCUUGUUUGCUUCUUUAGAAGCCACAAAGCUGACUUGAGAACUUUUGUGCACUGGGGAUAGAUGGCGUCUUGGUACCAGCCACACACUUUCCUGUUGCAGCUCCAGGCAUGCAGCUUUCCUGCCAAAUGCAGGGCUCAGAGGAAGGACAAACUAAUCCACCAGGCAAAAAGGUUUAGUUCUAUCUGUGUGUGAAAAUUCAACACUAUAUUUCCCAUUUGUGGUGUUGUUUUUUAGCCUAGCCUGGUUUACUCAUCCCUUUAAAUGACUGCGAGAAGAAAAAAUGCUCUUAGCAUUGCACAAGUCCAGUGACUUGUUUUCCUUCUGAGAAUCAAAUGCAUGGGAAAUCUGACUGCAAAAAUUGGUAUCUCUUGAGAAGCCCUGCCUGUCUGACAGGUAGUUUUGAAGUGGAGGCUCUUGGUCACUGUUCACGCCAAGAUGCCAUGACAUUUUAGCUCUCUUCUUCUGUCACUUUGUUUUCAGACUAUGCACGCAGAGCGUAUCAUGCCUGAUGGUAUGAUGAAAGCCAACAGAUGAAUUUUGUUUUCUGUAUCUUUGUUCUACUCUCAUAAUUGAAACUAUUUGCAAUCUUGAAAAGAUGUGCCAAGAGGGUCUGAACAGGAAAAUUCUGGAAUGAUGCAUCACACAUAAGUUGCAUUUGUUGUAACCAAUGUGUAAUAUUCUGGAACUAAAAACAAACAGUCUUUAAGUCUGCCACCCAAAAUUGGUAACUUUGUCUACUACCUGUGAACAUACAAACAAGAAUGUGGGUGCCCACCCAUGUGGAUCUGAAGGGCUGCAGAUUCCUUCAUCACCAGUAGUGUGGCUCUUGGAGAACACACACCGUUUCUGGUCACUGCUGCUGUCAGUCACUGUGUGUUGUUUCUGUCAAAUUGUGUUCAUGACAGUUCACAAACUGGAGAAGAUAGUUACACACGGGCUUCCAAAUUUGAGGAAAACUAGCAAUGGCAAAGACUGGAAAUCCUUGAAGCUAAGAGCUAUGUACAUGUUUCCUGCAAGCGGCUUGGUGAGUUUUUCCUGCAAGAUGCUCAGGAGCCCGGAUUGGCCUUUUCCAAGGUCACCUUUGGUAGCACUUAGUGGAACAAAUCACCUGAAGUGUAGGAAGGUGAAACUACUAUUAGCCUGUAGUAAAUUUCAAUUCUGUUAUCCAAAUAAACAUUGAAGCUUGUACAUUAAUGCUUAUACUCCCUGACCAUCUCUAAUUUUCUCUGAGUAAUGUGUACUUUAUAAACACAAUUGGCACGAGAAAUAUUUUCUACUGCAAAGAAAUAAAAGAAAAAAUGAGGAAGAUGUUAUUUUUGUUGGUUUUCGUGUUUCCUAUUUUUAGAGAAGUUAAAAAAAAAAGGGAAUAUUCACUACUUUAAAUGCUUUCUAAUGCUUUGCAGUGAGAGAGGAAUGAGGGCCCUCAGGACUCACCAGCAGCUGAUCUGGAGCUCAGCAUGCAGAUGUGCUAAAGGCCAGGUCAUCCUCAGCUGGACCUUUCCUGGGAAGUUGUUUUUAUUAUUUUCUUGUCAUUACUUUGACAGAGGUUUUGAAAACCAUUCCAAAAUGCUGGGACAGAUUUAUAUUCGAUUCCACCUGAAUAUAUCUGGACCAAAUCUCCCCACAGUGAGACCCGCAGACCAAAACUGAGCUGCAAAAGGAAAAGACGAUAGCAACAGUGUAAUGCAUGGGAUUGCUCUGACCAAGUAAUGCUCAGGGGUGUGAGGGUGCAGAGGGAACGUAGCAAAUGAAGGCUUUAAGUGGCUGCUGGGGAAUGGGCUCUUGUUGAAGUCAUCUUAGAGCUGAAUUUUAGUGUGGGCAACUGAGGAGAUUUGUGCCAGGAGUUUGUCUUUUCUAUCCUCUGCAACAAAUACUGCAGGAGAGAAGCAGCUGCUCCAUCAGAGAGCUCUUUGGAACAAGGAGCCUUCUCCCUGUCUUUGAUCUUACACAAAAUUCUGAUUUGCCAUUGUGUGUAUUGAAGCCAGGC